AUACGGAGGGCGCGAACGUUGCUCGGAAUCAUUGGGCGUAAAGCGCACGUAGGCGGCCUGAUAAGUCGGAUGUGAAAGCCCACGGCUCAACCGUGGAAGUGCAUUCGAAACUGUCAGGCUUGAGUAUGGGAGAGGGUUGCGGAAUUCCCGGUGUAGAGGUGAAAUUCGUAGAUAUCGGGAGGAACACCAGCGGCGAAGGCGGCAGCCUGGACCAAUACUGACGCUGAGGCGCGAAAGCGUGGGGAGCAAACAGGAUUAGAAACCCCGGUAGUCC
rnacentral:rRNA from 1 species